rnacentral:rRNA from 1 species
UACGGGGGAUGCAAGCGUUAUCCGGAUUUAUUGGGUUUAAAGGGUGCGUAGGCGGUUUGAUAAGUUAGAGGUGAAAUACCGGUGCUUAACACCGGAACUGCCUCUAAUACUGUUGAGCUAGAGAGUAGUUGCGGUAGGCGGAAUGUAUGGUGUAGCGGUGAAAUGCGUAGAUAUCGAGAGGAACACUCGUGGCGAAGGCGGGUUCCUGGACAUUAACUGACGCUGAGGCACGAAGGCCAGGGGAGCGAAAGGG